rnacentral:rRNA from 1 species
GACGAACGCUGGCGGCGUGCUUAACACAUGCAAGUCGAACGGAAAGGCCCUACUUUUGUGGGGUGCUCGAGUGGCGAACGGGUGAGUAACACGUGAGUAACCUGCCCUUGACUUUGGGAUAACUUCAGGAAACUGGGGCUAAUACCGGAUAGGAGCUCCUGCUGCAUGGUGGGGGUUGGAAAGUUUCGGCGGUUGGGGAUGGACUCGCGGCUUAUCAGCUUGUUGGUGGGGUAGUGGCUUACCAAGGCUUUGACGGGUAGCCGGCCUGAGAGGGUGACCGGCCACCAUGGGCCUGAGAUACGGACCAGACUCCUACGGGAGGCAGCAGUGGGGAAUAUUGCACAAUGGGAGGAAGCCUGAGGCAGCAACGCCGCGUGCGGGAUGACGGCCUUCGGGUUGUAAACCGCUUUCGCCUGUGACGAAGCGUGAGUGACGGUAAUGGGUAAAGAAGCACCGGCUAACUACGUG